UAAAUUGUGGGCUGCACAAUUUAAAAUAAAAUACAAUGGGCUGUGAAUUAAACUAAUCUAAUUAAAUAUUUUCCCUGUUGAUUUGGUCCUCAAUCAACACUAAUUAAAUUUUUUUCUUAAAGAUUCUGUAAAGAUUAUCCUCCUCCGUGAUGAGAUUAUCCUCCUCCGUAAUCUGCAAAUAAAUUCCAAACAAAUCCAAAUUAAUCAAAAAUAUAUAUAAAAAAAUAUGAGGAAUUUGAAUCCUCCCCCUCAACCCACGUUAAAAAAAACGUUCUCUCUCUCCCCUAAAUCUCUCUCACAUCUAAACCAUCCCUCCCUCUAUAUUAUUUCCUUCCCAAAACCGUUCUCUCCUAUCUCUGCCAUCAAGAAGACAAGACUUUUCCUCUCAACUUUAAUUCAAGAAACCGUGAACCAAACUCGAAAAGACGGAGCUAUCGGUUGUUUUCUCAAGCUCUGUUCAAGGUGAAUCAUUGCAAGUGAAUCGUGAUACCAAAGGGAAGAGAGUACUUGAGAUUUAAGCAGUCGAGGUGAAUCAUUGCAAGUGAAUCGUGAUACCAAAGGGAAGAGAGUACUUGAGAUUUAAGCAGUCGAGAUUGAGCGGCGACGAGCAGUUGGUGGUGUUGAGCAAUUUAAAAUUGAAGCAU